rnacentral:rRNA from 1 species
UGAGGAAUAUUGCACAAUGGGCGAAAGCCUGAUGCAGCGACGCCGCGUGGGUGAAGAAGGUUUUCGGAUCGUAAAACCCUUUUCUGUGUGACGAGAACGGACGGUAGCACAGGAAUAAGUCUCGGCUAACUACGUGCCAGCAGCCGCGGUAAAACGUAGGAGACAAACGUUAUCCGGAGUUACUGGGCGUAAAGGGCGUGCAGGCGGCAGUCUAAGUCUGGCGUGAAAUAUCCCGGCUCAACCGGGGAAGGUCGUCGGAUACUGGGCAGCUAGAGGACGGUAGAGGCGUGUGGAAUUCCGGGUGUAGUGGUGAAAUGCGUAGAGAUCCGGAGGAACACCAGUGGCGAAGGCGACACGCUGGGCCGUACCUGACGCUAAGACGCGACAGCAUGGGGAGCAAACAGGAUUAGAUACCCCAGUAGUCCCUGAGCGGGCUGGCAAGGCGCAU